rnacentral:rRNA from 1 species
GACGAACGCUGGCGGCGUGCUUAACACAUGCAAGUCGAACGGAAAGGCCCUGCUGUUGUUGGUCGCUUGAUUGGCGAACGGGUGAGUAACACGUGAGUAACCUGCCCUUGACUUUGGGAUAACUUCAGGAAACUGGGGCUAAUACCGGAUAUGAUCUCCUGCUGCAUGGUGGGGGUUAGAAAGUGUCGGCGGUUGUGGAUGGACUCGCUGCUUAUCAGCUUGUUGGUGGGGUAGUGACUUACAAGGGCUUUGACGGGUAGCCGGCCUGAGAGGGUGACCGGCCACAUUGGUACUGGGAUAGGGCCCAGCCUCCUACGGGCGGCAGCAGUGGGAAAUAUGGCACAAUGGGGGGAAGCCUGAUGAAGAAACCCCGGGUGCGGAAUAACGGCUUUCGGGUGGAAAACCGCUUUAGCAUGUGCCGAAGCGUGAGUGACGGUACCGGGUAAAGAAGCACCGGCUAACUACGUG